CCUACGGGAGGCUGCAGUGAGGAAUAUUGGUCAAUGGGCGGAAGCCUGAACCAGCCAAGUCGCGUGAGGGAAUAAGGCCCUACGGGUCGUAAACCUCUUUUGCCGGGGAGCAAGGGCGGGGACGUUGCCCGGCCCGGAGAGUACCCGGAGAAAAAGCAUCGGCUAAAUCCGGGCCAACAGCCGCGGUAAUACGGAGGUUGCGAGCGUUAACCGGAUUUAUUGGGUUAAAAGGGUGUGUAGUCGGGCUUGUAAGUCAGCGGUAAAAAUUCGGGGCUCAACCCCGUCCGGCCGUUGAAACUGGGGGCCUUGAGGGUGCGAGAAGAAAGCGGAAUGCGUGGUGUAGCGGUGAAAUGCAUAGAUAUCACGCAGAACCCCGAUUGCGAAGGCAGCCUUCCGGCGCCCUACUGACGCUGAGGCACGAAAGUGCGGGGAUCGAACAGGAUUAGAUACCCGUGUAGUC
rnacentral:rRNA from 1 species